GACGAACGCUGGCGGCGUGCUUAACACAUGCAAGUCGAACGGAAAGGCCCUGCUUUUGUGGGGUGCUCGAGUGGCGAACGGGUGAGUAACACGUGAGUAACCUGCCCUUGACUUUGGGAUAACUUCAGGAAACUGGGGCUAAUACCGGAUAGGAGCUCCUGCUGCAUGGUGGGGGUUGGAAAGUUUCGGCGGUUGGGUAUGGACUCGCGGCUUAUCAGCUUGUUGGUGGGGUAGUGGCUUACCAAGGCUUUGACGGGUAGCCGGCCUGAGAGGGUGACCGGCCACAUUGGGACUGAGAGACGGCCCAGAAUCCUACGGGCGGCAGCAGUGGGGAAUAUUGCACAAUGGGCGGAAGCCUGAUGCAGCAACGCCGCGUGCGGGAUGACGGCCUUCGGGUUGUAAACCGCUUUCGCCUGUGACGAAGCGUGAGUGACGGUAAUGGGUAAAGAAGCACCGGCUAACUACGUG
rnacentral:rRNA from 1 species